rnacentral:rRNA from 1 species
ACGAACGCUGGCGGCGUGGAUAAGACAUGCAAGUCGAACGAGAGAAUUGCUAGCUUGCUAAUAAUUCUCUAGUGGCGCACGGGUGAGUAACACGUGAGUAACCUGCCCCCGAGAGCGGGAUAGCCCUGGGAAACUGGGAUUAAUACCGCAUAGUAUCGAAAGAUUAAAGCAGCAAUGCGCUUGGGGAUGGGCUCGCGGCCUAUUAGUUAGUUGGUGAGGUAACGGCUCACCAAGGCGAUGACGGGUAGCCGGUCUGAGAGGAUGUCCGGCCACACUGGAACUGAGACACGGUCCAGACACCUACGGGUGGCAGCAGUCGAGAAUCAUUCACAAUGGGGGAAACCCUGAUGGUGCGACGCCGCGUGGGGGAAUGAAGGUCUUCGGAUUGUAAACCCCUGUCAUGUGGGAGCAAAUUAAAAAGAUAGUACCACAAGAGGAAGAGACGGCUAACUCUGUGCCAGCAGCCGCGGUAAUACAGAGGUCUCAAGCGUUGUUCGGAAUCACUGGGCGUAGAGCGUGCGUAGGCUGUUUCGUAAGUCGUGUGUGAAAGGCGCGGGCUCAACCCGCGGACGGCACAUGAUACUGCGAGACUAGAGUAAUGGAGGGGGAACCGGAAUUCUCGGUGUAGCAGUGAAAUGCGUAGAUAUCGAGAGGAACACUCGUGGCGAAGGCGGGUUCCUGGACAUUAACUGACGCUGAGGCACGAAGGCCAGGGGAGCGAAAGGGAUUAGAUACCCCUGUAGUCCUGGCAGUAAACGGUGCACGCUUGGUGUGCGGGGAAUCGACCCCCUGCGUGCCGGAGCUAACGCGUUAAGCGUGCCGCCUGGGGAGUACGGUCGCAAGAUUAAAACUCAAAGAAAUUGACGGGGACCCGCACAAGCGGUGGAGUAUGUGGCUUAAUUCGAUGCAACGCGAAGAACCUUACCUGGGCUUGACAUGUAAUGAACAACAUGUGAAAGCAUGCGACUCUUCGGAGGCGUUACACAGGUGCUGCAUGGCCGUCGUCAGCUCGUGUCGUGAGAUGUUUGGUUAAGUCCAGCAACGAGCGCAACCCCUGUUGCCAGUUACCAGCACGUGAAGGUGGGGACUCUGGCGAGACUGCCCAGAUCAACUGGGAGGAAGGUGGGGACGACGUCAGGUCAGUAUGGCCCUUAUGCCCAGGGCUGCACACGUACUACAAUGCCCAGUACAGAGGGGGCCGAAGCCGCGAGGCGGAGGAAAUCCUGAAAACUGGGCCCAGUUCGGACUGUAGGCUGCAACCCGCCUACACGAAGCCGGAAUCGCUAGUAAUGGCGCAUCAGCUACGGCGCCGUGAAUACGUUCCCGGGUCUUGUACACACCGCCCGUCACAUCAUGGAAGCCGGUCGCACCCGAAGUAUCUGAAGCCAACCGCAAGGAGGCAGGGUCCUAAGGUGAGACUGGUAACUGGGAUG